UACAGAGGAGCCAAGCGUUGUCCGGAUUGACUGGGCGUAAAGCGUGCGCAGGCGGUUUUGUAAGCCAGAUGUGAAAUCCCCGGGCUUAACCUGGGAACUGCAUUUGGGACUGCAAGGCUUGAGUGCGGCAGAGGAGACUGGAAUUCCUGGUGUAGCAGUGAAAUGCGUAGAUAUCAGGAGGAAUACCGAUGGCGAAGGCAGGUCUCUGGGCUGACACUGACGCUCAUGCACGAAAGCGUGGGGAGCAAACAGG
rnacentral:rRNA from 1 species